rnacentral:rRNA from 1 species
AUUGAACGCUGGCGGCAGGCCUAACACAUGCAAGUCGAGCGGUAACAUUUCUAGCUUGCUAGAAGAUGACGAGCGGCGGACGGGUGAGUAAUGCUUGGGAACAUGCCUUGAGGUGGGGGACAACAGUUGGAAACGACUGCUAAUACCGCAUAAUGUCUAACGGACCAAAGGGGGCUUCGGCUCUCGCCUUUAGAUUGGCCCAAGUGGGAUUAGCUAGUUGGUGAGGUAAUGGCUCACCAAGGCGACGAUCCCUAGCUGGUUUGAGAGGAUGAUCAGCCACACUGGGACUGAGACACGGCCCAGACUCCUACGGGAGGCAGCAGUGGGGAAUAUUGCACAAUGGGCGCAAGCCUGAUGCAGCCAUGCCGCGUGUGUGAAGAAGGCCUUCGGGUUGUAAAGCACUUUCAGUCAGGAGGAAAGGUUAGUAGUUAAUACCUGCUAGCUGUGACGUUACUGACAGAAGAAGCACCGCUAAC